AAUCGAUAUAAUGGAAGCGAAUGAAGUCGACGUAUCUAGCACGUAUUCAGCUUAUCAUCCAAUAGAAUUGACUUUUUUGGGUGUUUCGUUGUAGAUCACCUAUUUGGGUUAUUGUUUUACGGAUGAUUUGUGCAUUUGCGUGUGGAGUGCGAUGAAUUGAUUAAUGUUGUCGGUGGAAGUUGUUCGUAGAGGGCAGUUGAAUUUCAUUUCGAUUGUAACCUUGAACAUUUAUGGAUACCUGAUUAAUGUUGAUUGAUUUUGGAGUGUUGGCCCGUCGGUCUUGAUUUCGAUUAAUUUCGAGUUUUUUAAUGGACGCAUGCGUACGUUUUAAAAUUUAAUUUUAAUUGUUAAAUUUAAGGCGACUACACUCGAUUCAUCGUAUAGUCGAUCACUCAUUCGACCCGUCUUGAAACACGGACCAAGGAGUUCAUAAUACACGCGAGUCAUUGAGUGUUUUUAAAGCUCAAAGGCAUAAUGAAAGUGAAACUACGAACAGUUGAAAUAUGAUUAGUUUUUUUUUUAUUGUUUUCAUUGAAAAAACAAUAAGAAAACUAAGCAAUGUUGCCCCAUUCCGUGAACUUGUUCUGGUGUGGAGGUUGAGCGUGUGCAAUGAGACCCGAAAGAUGGUGAACUAUGCCUGAACAGGACGAAGCCAGAGGAAACUCUGGUGGAAGUCCGAAGCGGUUCUGACGUGCAAAUCGAUCGUAUGAUUUUGGUAUAGGGGCGAAAGAC
rnacentral:rRNA from 1 species